AAAGUACUCCCUCCGUCCCAAAAUUCUUGUCUUAGAUUUGUCUAGAUACGGAUGUAUGAAGUCACAUUUUAGUAUUAGAUACAUCCGUAUCUAGACAAAUCUAAGACAAGAAAUUUGGGACAGAGGGAGUAGUUG
rnacentral:pre_miRNA from 1 species